AUCUCUAGCUUUGGUCUUUUUUGGCCAAUAUUAAGUUUUUAUUUAUUUAAUUUAGCUUUAAAUUAUGAUUAUUAUUAUUAUUUUUACUGGGAUACGAUACUUAUAGUCCAUAUACUCACAACAAAUAUAAUAGUCAAACAAUUUGGCAAUAAAUCAGCCUCUGGGCAGUCAAGUCGAUGAAAAAAGUUUUAUUACAGCAACAACAAAAAGGAGUCCGAUUUAUGAAACGACUAAUAUUGGCUUUUGCAUCGCAUUAACUCCAACUCUUACUGCCUCCUUUUAACCACUUUGCUUAAAUUGAUGAAUGUUAAUACUAAAAAGUAUAUGGAGUAAAUAUAACGAAUUUAUUUAUUUUAAACUUUAAAAAAAAAAUGGAUACAGCUC